rnacentral:rRNA from 1 species
GACGAACGCUGGCGGCGUGCCUAACACAUGCAAGUAGAACGAGUUGCGAACGGGUGAGUAAUGUAUGGGGAACUGCCUGAUGGAGGGGGAUAACUACUGGAAACGGUAGCUAAUACCGCAUACCAUCAGAUGUGCCCAUAUGGGAUUAGCUAGUAGGUGGGGUAAGGGCUCACCUAGGCGACGAUCCCUAGCUGGUCUGAGAGGAUGAACAGCCACACUGGAACUGAGACACGGUCCAGACUCCUACGGGAGGCAGCAGUGGGGAAUAUUGCACAAUGGGCGCAAGCCUGAUGCAGCCAUGCCGCGUGUAUGAAGAAGGCCUUCGGGUUGUAAAGUACUUUCAGCGGGGAGGCGUUACCCGCAGAAGAAGCACCGGCUAACUCCGUGCCAGCCGCCGCGGUAAUAC